UUUUUUUGGUUGGUUUUUGUUUGAUAUGAAUACAGUUUAUUACAGUUUUCAGACUCCCAUCCGACACAUAUCUAAAGCUGAACAUUGCAAACUGACGUUACUAGCAGCAAUUCUCCCUAGACAGGAAGGGUUUCAGUUACUUUAGCAAUUAGGAGUAAAGACAAACUUACAAAUCAUGUUUUUCUUGUAGCAGCUGGUAUAUGAGCAGUGAACGUAUAGAUAGGUAGAGUCAUUCGGUUUAGCCUUGUCUAAAAAAACAUUAAUAAGUUAUGGUGCAGAGGAGUAUCCCCAGGGUUGCCAAAGAGAAGGCUGAUGUCUUUAGAUGUCAGUAUGAAACAAGCAAAUCACUUUCAAGACAUGGCUUACUAUUUGCUUUACUGUCAGGACAACAGAAAAAGAAGUGGACAGCUACCCUAGAUUCUAGCUCACACAUAAUUCAGCCAGAUAAUCAUCAUUUAAAUAAUACCCCUUGAAAUUUCUCAGACUUUUCACAGCUCUAAAAACACAACAUCAGACAUAACAUCACACAUUUGUUCCAAAGGACUAAAAAUCAAAAGCAAUUGCAAAGUAUUGGGAAUCACUUUUAUGGCUUUCCUAAGGGACAGUCCCCAUCUUUCCCGGGAGUGUUUUUAAAGAAGCACUAACUCUGGUAGGUUAUCAAACUAUUUUUUAUUCUAAAUAAAUAAAAGACUAACUGAAGGUCUCAGGUGUACUUAUUUUUCUUCCCCCAGAUCUUCCAACCAUCCAAAACCAUUUAUUGACAGAGAGCUUUCAUUUUUAUUAGAGCAGUGCAAGAUAACGUACAAACAUUUGAAAAAUACUCAAAAUACUGAGAAUGAAGGAGGCCCAACCCUUCCUCAGAGCCCAGAAAACUGACAGGAACCCCAAAGGCUUAUCUUAAAUCCAUCAACUCAAUUUGCCAGAAAGCGCUGACAGACCACCCACCUUUGCAACACAGGCCCAGGAUUCCUGCACUUACAACCACUAAGAAAAGCCUUCUGGGAGAAGAAAAGCACAGACUGGUGAACAUAAGUUACUGAAAAAGGGUUGACUGCAUUCUAUAUCUGGCACAGGAAAAGAAAAAUUCAAACAGCUGUGAAACCAUUAUAUUUACACCACAAUACUCUUACAUGAACCUUGACUUUCCUACAGCAAGUUUCAUUCAUAAAAAAUACAUAAAAGAUUGGAAAGCUUUGGGGUAGCACCAGUGACAGCUAGCUGUCAUUGAAUCGUUUUAAUUUUUUCCUAGAGGCAAAAUUUAGAGAAAAUUUAAAGAAGCAAUUUAUAGAACUGAUUCUAUUUCAUGAUUUUGCCUUUGUCAGCUGCUAUGGAAAUGGUGCAAGCAGAAAUAUAAAUAUCCAUUCUGAAGCAAGUAAGUUUCUAUUUCUUUUUUCUCAAAGGGUAGAAGUGGUACCUCUCAAUUUUUGUAAGGCGUCUGAGGAUUAACGGCAGCUCAUCGCUCAUGACUUGACAAUCUCUAAAGGAGCUCCUGGACUUUCUCACCACGAGGAUAGACGGAGCCACUCCUAUCCACAACUCAUAGCAAGGAUCUCUACGCAUCUAGAUUUUAAUGCCAACGGUUUCUUGGCUUCCUGACUUGACAUGCACCAUGCACAAUGCACAAACAGCAAGGUACUGACUGGUCUAAAGCCACUCUCCCUGGACACUGCUAACUCUGGCUAAUCAUCUCACAGACAUCCUGCCUCUGAUCAUAAGAUGGUCUCUGGAAGGAAGCAUAAACACUUCCCAAAUACUAGAGCAGACAGCCCAAAGUGCAAGUUCUACUAAUGGGAGAGUAAAAGACUCACCUCUGUAUACAAAGAAUGGCACAUGAAAUUGUUUUGAGCAUAAAACCAUAUCUCCCCUUUCUUAGUCACUUGUUAUUAUCUAACAAAGGUAGAUAGUUUUGAGAAGACCUCACCAACUACCUAAGUAUGUCCUGUGAAUUGUCUUGAAAAC
ensembl:lncRNA